AGAGCGAACGCUGGCGGCAGGCUUAACACAUGCAAGUCGAGCGGGCGUAGCAAUACGUCAGCGGCAGACGGGUGAGUAACGCGUGGGAACGUACCUUUUGGUUCGGAACAACACAGGGAAACUUGUGCUAAUACCGGAUAAGCCCUUACGGGGAAAGAUUUAUCGCCAAAAGAUCGGCCCGCGUCUGAUUAGCUAGUUGGUGAGGUAACGGCUCACCAAGGCGACGAUCAGUAGCUGGUCUGAGAGGAUGAUCAGCCACAUUGGGACUGAGACACGGCCCAAACUCCUACGGGAGGCAGCAGUGGGAAUAUUGGACAAUGGGCGCAAGCCUGAUCCAGCCAUGCCGCGUGAGUGAUGAAGGCCCUAGGGUUGUAAAGCUCUUUUGUGCGGGAAGAUAAUGACGGUACCGCAAGAAUAAGCCCCGGCUAACUUCGUGCCAGCAGCCGC
rnacentral:rRNA from 1 species